rnacentral:rRNA from 1 species
CCUACGGGUGGCUGCAGUGGGGAAUAUUGGACAAUGGGGAACCCUGAUCCAGCCAUGCCGCGUGUGUGAAGAAGGCCCUCGGGUUGUAAAGCACUUUCAGUGAGGAAGAACGCCUGGUGGUUAAUACCCAUCAGGAAAGACAUCACUCACAGAAGAAGCACCGGCUAACUCCGUGCCAGCAGCCGCGGUAAUACGGAGGGUGCGAGCGUUAAUCGGAAUUACUGGGCGUAAAGCGCGCGUAGGUGGCUUGAUAAGCCGGUUGUGAAAGCCCCGGGCUCAACCUGGGAACGGCAUCCGGAACUGUCAAGCUAGAGUGCAGGAGAGGAAGGUAGAAUUCCCGGUGUAGCGGUGAAAUGCGUAGAGAUCGGGAGGAAUACCAGUGGCGAAGGCGGCCUUCUGGACUGACACUGACACUGAGGUGCGAAAGCGUGGGUAGCAAACAGGAUUAGAUACCCUAGUAGUC